rnacentral:tRNA from 1 species
GGGGCUGUGACUCAGUGGUAGAGUGCUUGCCUAAUAUGUAUGAGAGCCUGGGUUGUAUUCCCAGCACCACCA